UGAGUUGGCAUCAACACACUAUUAAAGUCACAACGGUAAAAGAUGAGCAUGCGUCCCAUUAGCUAGUUGGUAAGGUAACGGCUUACCAAGGCAACGAUGGGUAGGGGUCCUGAGAGGGAGAUCCCCCACACUGGUACUGAGACACGGA
rnacentral:rRNA from 1 species